rnacentral:rRNA from 1 species
GCCUACGGGGGGCAGCAGUGAGGAAUAUUGGUCAAUGGUCGGGAGACUGAACCAGCCAAGCCGCGUGAGGGAUGAAGGUACAGAGUAUCGUAAACCUCUUUUGUCAGGGAACAAAGGCGGGGACGUGUCCCCGGAUGAGUGUACCUGAAGAAAAAGCAUCGGCUAACUCCGUGCCAGCAGCCGCGGUAAUACGGAGGAUGCGAGCGUUAUCCGGAUUUAUUGGGGUUAAAGGGUGCGCAGGCGGUCUGUUAAGUUAGCGGUCAAAGCCCGGGGCUCAACCCCGGCCCGCCGUUGAAACUGGCAGG